CAGUCGCCGCGGUAAUACGAGGGGGGCAAGCGUUGUUCGGAAUUAUUGGGCGUAAAGGGUGCGUAGGCGGUUUGACAAGUCUUAUGUGAAAUCUUCGGGCUCAACCCGAAGCUUGCAUGGGAAACUGUCGAGCUUGAGUAUGGGAGAGGUGAGUGGAAUUUCCGGUGUAGCGGUGAAAUGCGUAGAUAUCGGAAGGAACACCUGUGGCGAAGGCGACUCUCUGGUCUGUAACUGACGCUGAGGAGCGAAAGCGUGGGGAGCGAACAGGAUUAGAUACCCGAGUAGUCCCUGUCUCUUAUAC
rnacentral:rRNA from 1 species